rnacentral:tRNA from 1 species
GGAGAGAUCGCAUAGCGGUCGAGUGCACCGCCUUGGAAAGGCGGCAUACCAGAAAUGGUAUCGGAGGUUCGAAUCCUCUUCUCUCCG